GACGAACGCUGGCGGCGUGCUUAACACAUGCAAGUCGAACGGAGUGGCGAACGGGUGAGUAACACGUGGGUGAUCUGCCUUGCACUUCGGGAUAAGCUUGGGAAACUGGGUCUAAUACCGGAUAGUGCUAGAUGAGCUCGCGGCCUAUCAGCUUGUUGGUGGGGUAAUGGCCUACCAAGGCGUCGAGGGGUAGCCGGCCUGAGAGGGUGUACGGCCACAUUGGGACUGAGAUACGGCCCAGACUCCUACGGGAGGCAGCGGUGGAGAGUAUAGCACAAUAGGAGGAAGCCUGAUGCAGCGACGCCGCGUGGGGGAUGAAGGCCUUCGGGUUGUAAACUCCUUUCGACAGGGACGCGGUACCUGUAUAAGAAGCACCGGCUAACUACGUGCCAGCCGCCGCGGUAAUAC
rnacentral:rRNA from 1 species